rnacentral:rRNA from 1 species
GACGAACCGUGCGAACGUUGUUCGGAAUCACUGGGCUUAAAGGGCGCGUAGGCGGCUCCGCCAGUCGGGGGUGAAAUCCCCACGGCCUAACCGUGGAAGUGCCUCCGAUACUGCGGGGCUGGAGGGAGGUAGGGGCAGCGGGAACUUCGGGUGGAGCGGUGAAAUGCGUUGAUAUCCGAAGGAACGCCGGUGGCGAAAGCGCGCUGCUGGACCUCUUCUGACGCUGAGGCGCGAAAGCCAGGGGAGCAAACGGG